AUUGAACGCUGGCGGCAUGCCUAACACAUGCAAGUCGAGCGGAUGAAGGGAGCUUUCUCCUGGAUUCAGCGGCGGACGGGUGAGUAAUGCCUAGGAAUCUGCCUUGUAGUUGGGGAUAACGUCCGGAAACGGGCGCUAAUACCGCAUACGUCCUGAGGGAGAAAGUGGGGGAUCUUCGGACCUCACGCUAUCAGAUGAGCCUAGGUCGGAUUAGCUAGUUGGUUGGGUAAAGGCCUACCAAGGCGACGAUCCGUAACUGGUCUGAGAGGAUGAUCAGUCACACUGGAACUGAGACACGGUCCAGACUCCUACGGGAGGCAGCAGUGGGGAAUAUUGGACAAUGGGCGAAAGCCUGAUCCAGCCAUGCCGCGUGUGUGAAGAAGGUCUUCGGAUUGUAAAACUCUUUUAGUUGGGAAGAACGGAUGUAAAAUAAUACCUUGCUGUUUUGACGUUACCAACAGAAUAAGCCCCGGCUAACUACGUG
rnacentral:rRNA from 1 species